rnacentral:rRNA from 1 species
GAAGACUUUUGUGACUGAGCGGCGGACGGGUGAGUAACGCGUGGGUAACCUGCCUCAUACAGGGGGAUAACAGUUAGAAAUGGCUGCUAAUACCACAUAAGACCACAGUACUGCAUGGUACAGUGGUAAAAACUCCGGUGGUAUGAGAUGGACCCGCGUCUGAUUAGGUAGUUGGUGAGGUAACGGCCCACCAAGCCGACGAUCAGUAGCCGACCUGAGAGGGUGACCGGCCACAUUGGGACUGAGACACGGCCCAGACUCCUACGGGAGGCAGCAGUGGGGAAUAUUGCACAAUGGGCGAAAGCCUGAUGCAGCGACGCCGCGUGAAGGAUGAAGUAUUUCGGUAUGUAAACUUCUAUCAGCAGGGAAGAAAAUGACGGUACCUGACUAAGAAGCCCCGGCUAACUACGUGCCAGCAGCCGCGGUAAUACGUAGGGGGCAAGCGUUAUCCGGAUUUACUGGGUGUAAAGGGAGCGUAGACGGCUGUGCAAGUCUGAAGUGAAAGGCAUGGGCUCAACCUGUGGACUGCUUUGGAAACUGUGCAGCUAGAGUGUCGGAGAGGUAAGUGGAAUUCCUAGUGUAGCGGUGAAAUGCGUAG